AUUGAACGCUGGCGGCAUGCUUUACACAUGCAAGUCGAACGGUAACAGGUUAAGCUGACGAGUGGCGAACGGGUGAGUAAUGCACCGGAACGUGCCCGGUCGUGGGGGAUAACGCAGCGAAAGCUGCGCUAAUACCGCAUACGAUCUGAGGAUGAAAGCGGGGGACCGUAAGGCCUCGCGCGAUCGGAGCGGCCGAUGUCAGAUUAGGUAGUUGGUGGGGUAAAGGCUCACCAAGCCGACGAUCUGUAGCUGGUCUGAGAGGACGACCAGCCACACUUGGACUGAGGCACGGCCCAGACUCCUACGGGAGGCAGCAGUGGGGAAUUUUGGACAAUGGGCGCAAGCCUGAUCCAGCAAUGCCGCGUGCAGGAAGAAGGCCUUCGGGUUGUAAACUGCUUUUGUACGGAGCGAAAAGGCUCUCUCUAAUACGGAGGGCUCAUGACGGUACCGUAAGAAUAAGCACCGGCUAACUACGUGCCAGCCGCCGCAGUAA
rnacentral:rRNA from 1 species